UACUAUUGUAAGUCUACUCAAAUGAAAUCUACUACUUCUUCCCAUAGCCCAGUGACUGGGGCACUUUCCUGCGAAGUUCAAAUCCUUUCUCUGCAUCAGGCAGAGGGGAAAAUUGAAUGCAGGUCUCUAAUAUGCUAGGAUUCAAGUGCCUAAAUGUAUCUGCUCCUGGGACUAGCUUUCUGAAGAGGUCAGGCACCCAGCCUGCCUGUGACAGGCUCUGCUAAAGAGACUAAGCCAACCCAGAUCCACCUGUGUGGAAGGUUAAUUGGAUAAGUAGCUGAGAGAGAUUGAGAGAAUCUAAACAGAAAGAGAAGAGAAGGUAAAGCUUUCCAACCAGGGGCAGACCUUGAGUAAGCAAGGGAAAGACUGCAGUGCUUUCCAGGCAGCUGAGAAGUCUGAGGCCUUACAGCAGAAGGAGCUGCUGUUGGAACUCAGAGACUGUUAUUUUGGGACUUUUAAGUUUUGCCUGAGCUCUGAGGCUGUUAAAGUGACCUGAUUCUUACCGCACCAAGGGAGAAACCGAGGCAAGCCACAACAGAGCCACGCUCAACCACCAGGAAGUGCUCAGGAGGCUCCCUGAGACAUAAAUCAGUGGAUUCCAAGCCAAAUGAUGGUCCAUCAUGCAUUGUUCUGAGGUCACUUUAACUGCCAGGAAUCUCCUAUGGAUUUGGAAUUGAGAAUGGACUAGUAAAGCUGGAUGGAUCACUAAGAACAAGUCACUCUAACAAUGGGCCAUAGAAGAAACUCAUUCCAUCCAGAUAGACCUUCCUAUGGACACCUCAGCACGGAUAUGGACAAUGGCUGCGUUUGUGAGUCAUCAAACCAUGUAAGGACAUGUGAUAUCCUCAUGUGACCCUGGACUCCAUCUUGUGCCAGUAGCUUUCCACAAACUGGGCUGUGAGCUUUGUUUGAAACAGAAAAUUUCAAGGCACAUGGCAAAGGGUGUGAAAGACCCCUGGGAUGAUUCCAUUUUGCCUCUUUCCUGCCCUGAUUGUCUGGACUGUGGACUUAGAACUAAAAGAAGUAUAUUGAACUAUGGCUGAGGACCUUCCAAUCUUUUGGAAGUUACCAGAGAGACUUUACAAGCCAGCAGUUUAUAACAUCACUGCUACAAACCUGAUAU